UCUAUCACAAAGUUGUAAAUUUUCAUAAACAGCUGUGAGUUUAUUGCUUUGCUUCACCAGUAACUCGGUCGCCGCCAUCUUUAUUCGUUAAAAGAGGAGGAAAAGCACAUCACUUCGUUAACAUCCAAAGACAGCUAUAGCUUGUGAUAGCAUUAUUUCUUUUUAAAAAUGUAAAACCAAGGUUAUAAUUUUUGAUAUCAGAUUUAGAGAUAGUCCAUAGUCAAUCACUACAAAUGUUUUGCACUGGUUCUUUCUAAACAAUUAAAAUGUGUAGGCCUUUAUCUAAAAUGCUAACUAGCCUAUAUACAGAGAUACUAUACUUUUGACCAGUUUAUAUUUAACCAGAAAUAGACCAAUUACCCUAAAAUAAAACCGCACAAUUGCGUGUUUCUCAAUAGUCUGCGUUCUUUUGUCAUGUGACUUUAAGAGAAAAAUAGACAAAUGGAACGUGAAAGCUUUUUACAGCACUAAACAUGCGUGGAGGAAAGAAUUGCUUCCUGUAUAUACGAACAAACACUUAUUUCCGACAUUUAUUGGGGCAAUAAAACAGUAUAACCCAAAAGUGACCGAGCAUGGUCUGUGGGUUAUACCCUCGAAAAGGCAAUGCUCUUGAAGCUCAGCAGUGCAUGCUGUCCAAAAAGACUCCAAAAGCAUCACAAGAGGCUGAAACGGUUAUAGAAGACCUUCUUGGAUUGUGAUCUCCACUAAUUCGAAGGAAACAGACGCCAUGCAGACCAUACACAGCCUUCGCCUCACAUGCCCUCACUGCAUCAGGAACCUCAUGAGGAUAAGCACACCAGUGAAAUCUUACAAACCUGACACUCAUUAAAACAUAGUUAGCGGAAAUAAUAACUGUCUGUAAACAUAAAUGCCUCAUAAGUUUGCAAUAAAUUGAAUACAUGAUGCAACAGC